UACGGAGGGAGCGAGCGUUGUCCGAAGUUACUGGGCGUAAAGCGCGCGUAGGCGGGACAUUAAGUGAGAAGUGAAAGGCUGGGGCUCAACCCCAUGCAGUGCUCCUCAUACUGGUUUUCUUGAGGGUGGUAGAGAGAAGUGGAAUGGCUGGUGUAGCGGUGAAAUGCGUAGAUAUCAGUCGGAACACCAGUGGCGAAGGCGGCUUCUUGGGCCAUUACUGACGCUGAGGCGCGAAAGCCAGGGGAGCGAACGGG
rnacentral:rRNA from 1 species